AGUCUAACAUGUGCGCGAGUCGAUGAGUGAUGAAAAACUCAAAGGCGUAACGAAAGUGAAAAGGGGAGAUCCGGUCACCUCGGUGAUCGGCGCAUCCCCGGGGUGUCUCGUCCGCUCUAACGCGGUGAGGCACACCUUGAGCGUACACGUUGGGACCCGAAAGAUGGUGAACUAUGUUUGGCUAGGACGAAGCCAGGGGAAACCCUGGUGGAGGUCCGUAGCGAUUCUGACGUGCAAAUCGAUCGUAUGAGCUGAAUAUAGGGGCGAAAGACUAAUCGAACCAUCUAGUAGCUGGUUCCCUCCGAAGUUUCCCUCAGGAUAGCUGGUACAUGGAAACUGAGUCUCAUCCGGUAAAGCGAAUGAUUAGAGGCAUUGGGGUCGAAACGACCUCAAACUAUUCUCAAACUUUAAAUGGGUGAGACGUCCGGCUUUCUUAAAGGAAGCCGGAUGGAGAAUGUAAAAAGGACACGGA
rnacentral:rRNA from 1 species